GAGUGACUAACCGAGGCCUCGAUUUCGCACAGCCUACACACUGAUGUCAUACGAAAAGGCUAAUAUCUCUGAGGUGUUCUGAGUACAAUGCUUCUGAAACGUAAUCAUUAUAUGUUGAGUAAAGAUGAUGUUUGGGCAUACAGACGGUCCACGGCUAUCUGCCAUUGGAAUGGGCUGUUUAUCUUCUUUGGGAAGUGCCUCGUGUUGAAUGUGACCCUGACUGCAAGAACAGCACUGCAUGAACCAGGUUUUUCUUUUCAAGAGAAAGAAGCAAGGACUUUGGAGGACUCCAUAGUGCAAGGAAUGCAGGUUCUGUAGCAGAAGAGCAAGAGGAAAUGAGGAGGGUCUUUGCUGUUGGCUGUGGCUGUCCCAAACUCUCAGGUACAGUGAUAACAGUGACAUUUCCAGAAGAAGUAGCAGAAAGAUAAGCAGACAGGCAGCAGGAAGCUGGAAAACAUAAAGAGAAGGGGGACUCUCAAGAACGAUGAAGCUGAAAUCCUCGCUUAUGGAGAAUAAUAGUGGUACCUUGACAGUUGUCCGUGCCCGCAGCGCUAUGCGGGAGUGGCUGUCUGACACGGGGUUAAACCUGCGCCUGCCCUGGGCCGUGCCAUGCCGAGCCAUACUCUUGCCUCCUCUGUUCAUCAUUAAA